rnacentral:lncRNA from 13 species
AAAGGUGGGGGAGGGUGGCCAGUGCCUCCCUGCCAGGCUCUGUCUGUGUCAUCUGGAGCAGCACGGACCCUUCAGUCUCCAUUCUCUCUUCAGGAAAGAGGCCUCCUCAUAGAUGGACACACCAAGGCUCAGGUCGUCAGACUGGGCUGCAAGAUAGAACAUAACAUGCAUAUGGCUGACAUCAAAAGGAGCCCUUUCAAGCUGGCAUCU